GAUGGGUUGUGCUCAGAAAUAUCAAGUCUUAUCAAGAGACAGACGCAGAGCGGACGGAUUGCACCCAAGGGUUUCGCUCUUCUACUGGGAUUUUUCUACAAUACUCCCGAGGUGCUCCGAUGGAGGGGGACACCCUCUGCCGACACGUGGAGGUUGUGUGCCACGGGCUUUGGAUUAUUAUCUCUUCAAGUCAACUUAAUGGGUGAAUCCUAGUGGUUGGAUCAGAACCUUUUUUCCAGUCCCAUUUAUUUUUUUCUUCCAUUUUAAUAAUAUAAGCUGCUGGGAUGUGUCUAGGAAACUGAGGAUUAAGCUCAAAGCUGAGAAUAAUUGAAGUGAGAGCCUGAGAGAUGAUUGAUUAAGGUUAACUCAGCUGAGCUGAGCUGAGCAUAUUUUCA